GUAAAUAUUAUUUGAAGUGCUACUUUUUAAUGGGUAUAUUUUGAAUUAAUUUUAAAUAAAUAAUAUAAUAUAUUUUAUGUCAUUUAACACCCAAUUGAAAACACUCUCACAAAGAUCCAAAUUAAAAUUAAAAGUUCAUCUUCCUCGCAAUAUUUCUAUCUCUGUAAAUCCAACAAGAAGAAGAGCAAAAAUGUAAGCUUUGGCUGCAAUAAAUCAAGGGUUUUCAUAUAGUUAUUCAAGGAAUCAUCAUCAAGGGUCCAACGAUAUUACCUUCCACAUUCGUGUCUAGGACCAUAGUAGAUCAAUAAGAAGAAGAUUUGUGAGUCCUCAUAAUAUUCGAGAUAUUGCAGGAUUGGUGGUUAGUGUCCUGAUUGCCAACAAGUGAAAGGUGAACAUCAGAAACCGGGAGGUUUAUCUCAAGAUGUUUGCAUUCCUACUUGGAAGUGAGAAGAUUUAGAAUCCCAUUUGAGGACGAAUGUUUCCAAGGCGAAGUCAAUGUGACACCUCAAAGAUUAUUAGUCUAGAAAAGAAGCCAAGUGGAAGGUCACCGACUCAUGAGUGAGCCAUGGCACCCUUUAUGGAGCCCGAAACGGGAUGUGAAGUGCACCGCGACACGUGAUGGUUCUGGUGUGUUUCCUUCCACUAUUUGUCCUGGAGGGCUCCCCUCCCAUGAGAACCUAGAAAGCUCGUGGUGGAAACCAAUGCUUGUGGUAGUGCCUUUGAUGGGGAGGCAAUAGCCACUUCACGUCUGACUCUCCAUACAAGACACUAGGCGGCUUGUGAGAGCCAUCAAAGCUCGUAAGCUAACAGUAUGGACAUGGACCAUGGUCAAGACAAUGAUCAUGGACCACGACUGCCACUAUGGCCCGUUAUGUCCUUGACGAAUCGCGUAGGUCUCCAUCUUGAGGUUUAUCUUAGCUGUAAGCUAACGGCAGCUGGGGUUUUUUCGUAAUUAUUUUAUCUUAAUACAAUGUAAUUUUUCCCUUACCUAGAACCCCUAUGCAACUGAUUUUAACCUAAAAAUUUACCGAUUCAAUUCCUUCUCUAAAAUUUACCAAGAAGAUCAAGUUCUUCCUCUCCAAAACAUUUUUUUCUCUAGAAACAUAAAGAGAAGGGUUCAGCCUAGGGUUUCUAGGCAAGUCUCCAAUUCCACCAUUGUCAAAAAACUUUUGGAAUUGAUGUAUGAUAGUUUUAAUCCAUGGAUUGCUUCCAUUCAUAGAUUUCCCAAAUUCUCCUAUUUUAAAAUUUAGAAUUCCCUAAUAUAGUUAGGGUUUUUCUUCUAUAUCAUGGGUUCUCCCGAGUAUUGAUUUAA